UACGGAGGGGGCUAGCGUUGUUCGGAAUUACUGGGCGUAAAGCGCACGUAGGCGGCUUGGUAAGUUAGAGGUGAAAGCCUGGAGCUCAACUCCAGAAUUGCCUUUAAGACUGCCGAGCUAGCAGGUGAGAGAGGUGAGUGGAAUUCCGAGUGUAGAGGUGAAAUUCGUAGAUAUUCGGAAGAACACCAGUGGCGAAGGCGGCUCGCUGGGCAGUGGCUGACGCUGAGGCGCGACAGCGUGGGGAGCAAACAGG
rnacentral:rRNA from 1 species